GACGAACGCUGGCGGCGUGCCUAAUACAUGCAAGCUGAGCGCUGAAGGUUGGUACUUGUACCGACUGGAUGAGCAGCGAACGGGUGAGUAACGCGUGGGGAAUCUGCCUUUGAGCGGGGGACAACAUUUGGAAACGAAUGCUAAUACCGCAUAAAAACUUUAAACACAAGUUUUAAGUUUGAAAGAUGCAAUUGCAUCACUCAAAGAUGAUCCCGCGUUGUAUUAGCUAGUUGGUGAGGUAAAGGCUCACCAAGGCGAUGAUACAUAGCCGACCUGAGAGGGUGAUCGGCCACAUUGGGACUGAGACACGGCCCAAACUCCUACGGGAGGCAGCAGUAGGGAAUCUUCGGCAAGGGACGAAAGUCUGACCGAGCAACGCCGAGUGAGUGAAGAAGGUUUUCGGAUCGUAAAACUCGGUUGGUAGAGAAGAACGUUGGUGAGAGUGGAAAGCUCAUCAAGUGACGGUAACUACCCAGAAAGGGACGGCUAACUACGUG
rnacentral:rRNA from 1 species